GUAGUAGAGAACUAGCCUUGAGCAAAAAAAAGCUCAGGGAUGGCACUCAGGUCCUGAGUUUAAGCCCCAUGACUGACAAAAAAAAAAAUAAUUGUAUUUUAAAUGAUUGAAUAAUUGAAAUGUAGGAUGGACAUAAAUCCAUAAUUUUUUUCUAGUUAGAAAUUUCAUCUAAAACAAUGCACAGGAUGUUGUAUUUGUUAGAUAUCUUUUUAUUUUAUUUUUUGGUCAUGGGGCUUUUCUAGUGGUUAUUUGGAUAUAAGAGUCUCAUGGACUUUCCUGACCUCAGGAUGGUUUUGAACAAUCCUCAGAUCUCAGGCUUCUGAGUAGCUGGGAUUACAGGUGUGAGCCACCAGUGCCCAGCUUAAUGUCAUUUAAUUAUGAAAAGAUGUAAGCUAAGCUCUUCAGAGAAGCCUUAACUAUAUUGAAAGCAAUGGAAUUUUGAUGUUUUAAAUAGAUGAGAUAACCUAGUUUCUGGCUUGAGUAUUUCACUGUAAAGCAGUUGUCACUGAAUUGGAAAGAAAGAAGAAUGUAUUUUUUUCUACAGACUAUGGUGAGUAAAACAGUGAAUUAGACUGGAAACAGAAACAAAUUUUAAAAUUGGAGUUUUUAUUUUUUGGUCAUGGGGCUUGAAUUUAGGGCCUGGGCAUUGUCUCUG